rnacentral:rRNA from 1 species
UACGUAGGGGGCAAGCGUUGUCCGGAAUCAUUGGGCGUAAAGAGCGUGUAGGCGGCUCGGUAAGUCCGUUCUGAAAGUCCAGGGCUCAACCCUGGGAUGCGGAUGGAUACUGUCGGGCUCGAGUCCGGAAGAGGCGAGUGGAAUUCCCGGUGUAGCGGUGAAAUGCGCAGAUAUCGGGAGGAACACCAAUGGCGAAGGCAGCUCGCUGGGACGUUACUGACGCUGAGACGCGAAAGCGUGGGGAGCAAACAGG